GUAAUUUUAUUGUUUCGUCUCUAUAAAAAAAUUUACCUAAAGCAUUCAUUUAAGAGGGCUUAAGGCAAGUGCGUUCAUCUUACCCCAGUGUGGGAUUUUUGGGCAUUAUCGUCAAGAAAUGUGGCCAAAAUUUUUUUUUUAUAGGAAGUCAUAGGAAAGUUUUUCAAAAAAAGAAACACAUAAAAUGCAUGAAAUCUUUAUUUGAAUCGAUAGUACGGUCCAUUUUUAAAUGCAAGUUUCUUUGUGGAUGGCAAGCAAUUAAAAGCAUACCAAUUUCAUCUGGGUUGAAAAUAUCGAUAUGACUGUAUUCUUUGAUAAUGCUGGAUGUACCAAGCCAUUCCGAACAUGUCGCAAAAUCAAAAUGUCUUGACAAUGCUGCAAACUCCAUUUCCUUUUCCCUGAUUGUUUGCCCAGAUAGUGGAUUGUUUUUAUUUCUUGCUGUUGUAGUCCAUCGGAGCCAUGAAACUUCGUCAACAUCUGAAUACUUACGCAUACUAACCUUCUAUAAUCUACUGGAUAUAGAUGUCGUACUAGCUUUUUAGAUGUGGUUUUUGUUUUAUUUUUAAAUAGUUGAAUGUGUUGUAGCCGAAACUCCAAAGUUUUUGGCCACAAUUUUCACUUUUUAUA
rnacentral:sRNA from 1 species